rnacentral:rRNA from 1 species
UACGUAGGGUGCAAGCGUUAAUCGGAAUUACUGGGCGUAAAGCGCACGUAGGCGGAUUUGUAAGUCAGGGGUGAAAUCCCGGGGCUCAACCUCGGAACUGCCUUUGAUACUGCAAAUCUCGAGUCCGGAAGAGGUGAGUGGAAUUCCUAGUGUAGAGGUGAAAUUCGUAGAUAUUAGGAAGAACACCAGUGGCGAAGGCGGCUCACUGGUCCGGUACUGACGCUGAGGUGCGAAAGCGUGGGGAGCAAACAGG